rnacentral:rRNA from 1 species
AUUGAACGCUGGCGGCAGGCCUAACACAUGCAAGUCGAACGAGUGGCGGACGGGUGAGAAAUGUCUGGGAAACUGCCCGAUGGAGGGGGAUAACUACUGGAAACGGUAGCUAAUACCGCAUACCAUCGGAUUUGCCUAGAUGGGAUUAGCUAGUAGGUGGGGUAACGGCUCACCUAGGCGACGAUCCCUAGCUGGUCUGAGAGGAUGACCGGUGACACUGGAACUGAGCAACGGUCCAGACUCCUACGGGAGGCAGCAGUGGGGAAUAUUGGACAAUGGGCGCAAGCCUGAUGCAGCCAUGCCGCGUGUAUGAAGAAGGCCUUCGGGUUGUAAAGUAUUUUCAGCGGGGAGGCGUUACCCGCAGAAGAAGCACCGGCUAACUCCGUGCCAGCAGCCGCGGUAAUAC